CCUACGGGUGGCAGCAGUGGGGAAUAUUGGACAAUGGGCGAAAGCCUGAUCCAGCCAUGCCGCGUGUGUGAAGAAGGCCUUCGGGUUGUAAAGCACUUUCAGUGGGGAAGAAAGCCUUGGGGCUAAUACCCUCGAGGAAGGACAUCACCCACAGAAGAAGCACCGGCUAACUCCGUGCCAGCAGCCGCGGUAAUACGGAGGGUGCGAGCGUUAAUCGGAAUUACUGGGCGUAAAGCGCGCGUAGGCGGUCUGAUAAGCCGGUUGUGAAAGCCCCGGGCUCAACCUGGGAACGGCAUCCGGAACUGUCAGGCUAGAGGGCAGGAGAGGAAGGUAGAAGUCCCGGUGUAGCGGUGAAAUGCGUAGAGAUCGGGAGGAAUACCAGUGGCGAAGGCGGCCUUCUGGACUGACACUGACGCUGAGGUGCGAAAGCGUGGGUAGCAAACAGGAUUAGAUACCCAGGAGUC
rnacentral:rRNA from 1 species